GCUGUUCCACUUCAGGACGAUACAAAGUACCAUCUUGGGUCAUAAAUUGACUUCCCUCCGCAUCCAUUAACCAAAUAGAAUUCUCGUGCAUUAGUUCUGCAA